AAGCUGCCCUUCCAAAAACGUGCAACAAGCUUUCUUCACGGCAGACAUCUGAAGCAAAGAUGCAACAGGAACACUCAAUGAUCAUUGUCACUACUCUACAUGGAUGUUGAUGCUUCGUUUUCCUAUCCUCUAUCAAUGCUUUUCUGUAAUCAUCCUUGCUUGAGUCUGUCCAUAAAUUGUAAACUGCAGUUGGAAAAGGAGUAAAGAAGGACAAGAUGUAGCUUGCAAGUAUUUGGGCAAGUCUACCAUUACCAUCACCAAAUGGGUGCAAAGUAAGAAAUUGAAAAAGAAACCAAGCACACAGUUUAAACAUGUUGUAGUAAUCAUUGUAACAUGUUAGUCCAUUUUUUGUUACAUAAUUAAACAGUUCGUUGUACCUGUCAA